UUAUAUCGCGCAACCAAAACCUGUCCUCCAAAACCCCCAAAACCCGUUCGCGCACGAGCUCGCUGCCCGGCGCCGCCGACCUCCGCAAGCCCUCAGGCGAGGCUAGGGGAGAUUGAAGGAAGAGAGACACGGUACACUAUCACAGCUGAGGAUAUCAGAAGGGAGCUAAAGAUUGAACCUUUUGUAGUUCUUGAAACCACUCCCAUUGAUGAAGUGGCACAAAGAGCGGUGGUAAAUGAAUCAUGUCCUCAAUGCCAUCACCCCCAGCUUGAGUAUUAUACCAGACAGCUACGAUCCGCUGAUGAAGGGCAAACAGUUUUCUACGAGUGCCCAGAAUGCAGAUACAAGUUUUCAGUCAACACAUAAAAAAAUGUUAUUAUCUGUUCCAUUAUGGUCGUCAAACACAUUCCUGAAUGAAUAUACCAAACAAAAACACAUGCCUGACUGUAAACAUGGUUUCAGAUUCAUCUUUAUUUGUAUAGAUCAUAAAUGUUUCGACGCUAAUUUCAAUCAUCAUUGUGUUCGGAUGCCAUUCUUUGUUGCACUGGUGACGGGCACUAGGGAAGACCGAGGAUGGCGUUCUUCCACGCUCGCGACUUCUUGUUCUGCGGAAUGUGCGGGACCCUCCUAUCCUUCGACUCGCUCGACUUCGCGAACUGCCCUCUUUGUGGCUUCAAGCGCGCCGCUAAAGGUACUACCACCCCGAUGCCUCAAGCCAAUGCGUGAAUUUGUCGGUAUUUCUGAUCCAAUUUUCCUGUUACUGAAUGCUCCAUAUGUGUAUAUGUAGCUCCUCUAUGGAGCCUUCGAUUACUAGUUUUGGAAGGCAUGAUUUUGUUCUUAAUUGGGCUAAUAACUGUUCUUUGUUGAAGCGGAUAUAGCAGUAGUCUUCCAUGAUUGGGUUAUCGAAGACUGGAAAAUUUUGUUAUUCUAGUGUGUUAUCUGCUUGUGGCUAGAUUGACAACUUAUUUUGUUGCUUGAACGGUGUCUAAUCUGGCAUUCAAUGAACCCGUAAUAUGUCUACUGUUUUGAUGUUUAAUUUGGAUAUUUGUAAAAGGUUAGUGCUGCAUCAGAGGUGCCAUUUUGAAAGUUCCUCCUACUUAGCUUGAAGGUGAUGGAGGCACCUUCAAACUAUUUUAUUAUAUAUGCUGUGGAGCAGAAUAUAUUGAAGUGGAAAAGAGAUGAAGAAGGUAACAUUUUGGAGAAUCUCCACUAUGAAGCUUCAGAGUUUGGUUAAACUCAAAAUCCCUUAAUAGGAAACCCCACAUUCAUGACUCUUUAUAUGGAUAUCGAAGUUGAACAUGAUGAAUGGAAGGCCAAUGACGAAGAAAGAAUAUCAUAGAAGUAGUCGCAACAAAUCCAAGACUAGAAUAUAGGAUGCAAUGCAUAUUUUGGUACAUUUUGGUUGCAGACUCUGAGUAGAUUACAAACGAACUUAUUUGAAGACAUCAGGGAUGCUUAAAAAUGAAUGAGACAAGUAAAGAAUAGCAAUUAUACCAUGCCCAGAAGAAUUAAUAGGGCAGAUUGGAAAGAAAUGAAAGUAUAAGAAAUUGCUGAAGAUCAUAAGGGAAAGGGCAAUGGCCCUAAAUAACCCACCUUUUACUGGUUCUAGGUCUACAACUGGCUCUGGCAGAGUGUUUUUUUUUAAUGAAAACUUAUUAUUAUCACUAUAUCCCAACCUAUAAAACAUUUGGAGACUUAGACCAUGCAAUGAUAGUCCUAUGAGGAACUUUCUCGCUAAACCUGGUCAAGUUAUGUGUUUGACAAAUUUCAUGACCUUUUAGUGGCAGAUGAGCAAGUCCAAUAAAUACAAUCAUGAACCUGAAGCUUUACUAAUUCAUAAAUUGCAGAAAUAUGGUCAUGCCUCAUGUGAUGCAUUCAUUUCUUUUGAAUCUCCACAGUUGUCCUAGGAUGUCUCAGGUUUAUAUACUAUGAAACUUGAGGAGAAAAUGUUAGAGUGGAUGUGCACUGUACGAGCAAGGCAUCACCACCUGGGGAAGAUGUAUAGAAUCUUGUCUUUCAAAAAAAAUUCAGAAACAUCUACACAGUAUGAGUAUAAGCCUGCAGAUAGCACAUCAACUAUUGUCCGAGUAUUUAUUUAUAUACAUGAGAAUUCUACUAUGUAAACUUGCUCACAAACAUGUCUGGCUUCCUUUCAGUCCUUUUUCUGGUUUUGUUUGUUACGCUAUGAAAAGCAUCUCUCCCUUUACAGUAAAAAGCAUCUUGCAAGUCAUCAAGGUUUAUCAUUUUUCUCUUUCUGUAUGUAGUCAAAAAGUAAUUGAACAGCACACAAUCUGGUCAAUCAUAAACACUUAACUAUGCAUAAAUCUGAAUCAAAUGUGUUUAGAUUUUCUUUUUCAAAGAAAUGAUAUCUGGAGUUUAAAAAGAUAUUUAUCGUGCAGUCUAAAUCUUCUCUAAUUAGAAAUCACAAUAUUAAGGCUUGUAAGAUUCAUAGUUAAAGACGAGUUCAUACUCCAUCUCGUUUUAUUUUGAUUUUUUGAAGGACUUCAGCAAUUAGUGAAAGAUCAGUUCAUAUUAUCAGAACAAAAAAAGAAAACAAAAAAGAUUGUAAAGCAGCAAGUAAUUUUAGGCACCCAACUUGCAGUACAGCAUUGCUAAAAGGUGAUGAACAGUAUCUAAAGACAAUUUGCUAACUGAUGACCAUUUGAGCAGUGUAUUUGCUUUCUCAUUAACUUUUGACCCCAGCAUUUGGAGUUGAGGUUGUAGCUGCUUUUAUGUUGUAUUGUAUGCUCGCAUGCACCUUAUUUUGGCAAGCGGCAACACAUGUUUACUGUGUCCAGAGAUGGGGUUUUGUCCUUUUUUCAAAGUUGAAGAUCAGAUUUUAUUUCUUCGUCCAGAGUAAUAAUGUGUUCUCCACAAACACAGAUGUGCACUUACAUGGGCAUGCACACACACAUACUCAAAAAAGGUAAAAACAACAGUGCUCUAUUUUUCUAAAAAGUGUUAUUAGAGCUGUUUGGUCUGCCAUGCAAUUCAGUAGGUUUCCAUAAUAUGGAGCCCAAUAGUUUAACAAAAACUUGCUGGCAGUAGGAUUUAUUGAUUCAGUUUGUGAUGGCGAUCCACCACAAAUGAUCCAAGUCAUGCCUUUCUUUAUGCUGUUCAUGUUGGGAAGGGAAAUAUAUUUCUUGCCUCAACUGUUAAUGAGAAUCUCAAAUUUAUGUACCAAAAACCUUCAUUUUUUUUUAUCAAUUAAGAUUCUUAUCUUCACUAGUUAUAGGAUCUUUAUAAAUAUUUAUAUUAUUGAUGCAUGUAUAACAAGUAGAAAGAUUGAAAUGUUUAAAAACAGACUAGUAUCUUCUGAUUAUCUGGACAAAGUGAUCACUAGCUGGUUGCAUUUUAUGUCAAGGAGAAAUAUGCAAUUAUUCUUUGGUAUUUACUUGUAUUAAUUCUUCAUUAUCUAUUUAUUUCCUUCAUGAAGACUACUUUCUGUUACUAGCUUUCAUAUUGCUCUUCUUAUUGUUUGUUGAGUUCACAAUCUGUUCUCAUGUUUUUUCUCACUAUGCUUUUUUCUGCUACCAAUAUAUUUUUUCCAUCUUUUUUUGGGUAUAGUUUCCUCAACUCCUUUGCUACAUUUGUUAGUCAUAUGUCAUGACAACUUAAAAGGAUAUCUUUUUCUGUGACCAUUGAUAUACAAAUCUAAUUUGAAGAUUGUUUUCCCAGAGANNNNNNNNNNNNNNNNNNNNNNNNNNNNNNNNNNNNNNNNAUGAACUUGUGAUCCAUCAGAGUCUGGGAACUUGUUAAAAACUAAUCGUAGUUUUAGUUCUUUGAUAUGGUGUCAAGGUCCUAGCCAAAGCAAUUGGGCAAGGGACGGGUCUACCCUAGAAUUCUAGAAGACCAUUUGGCAUGAGGAUUACUUAUUGGUUGCAUAAUUUAAACUCUGGUGAUGAAGAACUGCCCAUUUAGGUUCCUCUAGAAUUGGAAACUUCAAACUACAUUUCUAAAUGGUUGAGACAUAGGGGUGGCAAAAUCUGAUCUGCACCUGCCAACCUGCAUGAAUCCACCUGCAAUAAAUGGGUUUGGUGGGGUUUUCUUAAAGUUGGUUUGGUUCCAGGUCAACCCAAAAUCAAGCUUGGGUUUAGCCCUCAGACGCAAUGGGCCACCUGUGAUAAAUCAUUUGAGAACCAAUCAGCUCCCACACCCAAUAUAAUUGAUAAUUCUAAUUGUUUCCAUGUGGUUUGGUUCCCUAGUUCAAAAAAAAAGAGGAUUAUAAAGAGUAAUGGACAUGUUGGGUUAUGGGAUUUAGGGAUGUUGGGUUGCAUUUUAGCUAUUCAAUCUUUAGAUAGAUUAUGACUGAUAUUUUGUAAAUUCCUGAGUUUAUUGUGCUUAUGAUGAUAUAUUCAAGGUUCAUUUUGGUUUUGUUGUUUGUGCUCUUCACGUACCAUGUUUUGUUUUCUGGGACAUCUUAAGCCGUUACAAACUUGAUUAUAAGGAAAGGUACCAAUAGUUGAAAUAUUCUCCUUUAUAAACAUUGCCAUUUGACACCACCCAAUUCUUAUCUCAUGCAUGUGCACAGUCAGCAGCCAACAAUUUUACUUUACUGUGACCACGGCAUUGUCCCCAAAAUCAGACAUUGGUAUUCAAACACCUUUCAUAUAGUCAUCAUCCUGUAGCAUAUGAUUGUAAUGUUUUGUAAAGACUUCUGCUUUUAGUAACUUGGCUUUUCAUGGGCAUUUCUAUGUUCUGAAGUCUUUCACUUGCAAAAUCAAUUAGCAGGAAACACAAUAUGAGAUUUGUGAAUCCAUGUGGCUGUUAAUCAAUCAGGAAACAAGUAUUUGAGAGUCAUGACACCAUUAAAUCUUCUUUUCUGCAAUUGUCUCCAUUAUAAUGGUUGUCAUGUUCAUAGAUUAUGCUUGGAUAAUUGGGGAUAUUCUGUGAAAAUCAUAUAUGAUCAAUAAAUCUAAUGUAGAUUCUGUUUCUCACUUUUGCUUGAAGUGAUGAAUUCUUUUUCCUAGAUUAAUUGUGAUGACCAAUGUUUUUUUCUGUCAUUUCUUUUUCAGGAUAUCAGAAGGGAGCUAAAGAUUGAACCUUUUGUAGUUCUUGAAACCACUCCCAUUGAUGAAGUGGCACAAAGAGCGGUGGUAA
rnacentral:lncRNA from 1 species